UACGUAGGGUGCGAGCGUUGUCCGGAAUUAUUGGGCGUAAAGAGCUUGUAGGCGGUUUGUCGCGUCUGCUGUGAAAAUCCGGGGCUCAACCCCGGACUUGCAGUGGGUACGGGCAGACUAGAGUGUGGUAGGGGAGACUGGAAUUCCUGGUGUAGCGGUGAAAUGCGCAGAUAUCAGGAGGAACACCGAUGGCGAAGGCAGGUCUCUGGGCAUUAACUGACGCUGGAGGAGCGAAAGCCGUGGGGAGCGAACAGG
rnacentral:rRNA from 1 species